rnacentral:tRNA from 2 species
GGGCUGCUAGCUCAAUGGUAGAGCAAGGGCCUUUUAAGCCCGUGGUUCUGGGUUCGAGUCCCAGGCGGCCCA